rnacentral:hammerhead_ribozyme from 1 species
AUUCAGCUGACGAGUUCCAAAUGGAAGGAAACAGGCGUCUUGAAU